rnacentral:rRNA from 1 species
UGCAUAUCAAAAAGCUGAGGAAAAGAAACCAACAGGGAUUGCCUUAGUAACGGCGAGUGAGCGGCAAAAGCUCAAAUUUGAAAUCUGGCACCUUCGGUGUCCGAGUUGUAAUUUGAAGAAGGUAACUUUGGAGUUAGCUCUUGUCUAUGUUCCUUGGAACAGGACGUCACAGAGGGUGAGAAUCCCGUGCGAUGAGAUGUCUAACUCUAUGUAAAGUGCUUUCGAAGAGUCGAGUUGUUUGGGAAUGCAGCUCUAAGUGGGUGGUAAAUUCCAUCUAAAGCUAAAUAUUGGCGAGAGACCGAUAGCGAACAAGUACAGUGAUGGAAAGAUGAAAAGAACUUUGAAAAGAGAGUGAAAAAGUACGUGAAAUUGUUGAAAGGGAAGGGUUUGAGAUCAGACUUGGUAUUUUGUAUGUCUUGCUUUCGGGUGGGGCCUCUGCAGUUUACUGGGCCAGCAUCGGUUUGGAUGGUAGGAUAAUGACAUUGGAAUGUGGCACUACUUCGGUGGUGUGUUAUAGACUUUGUUGAUACUGCCUGUCUAGACCGAGGACUGCGUCUUUGACUAGGAUGCUGGCAUAAUGAUCCUAAACCGCCCGUCUUGAACCACGAGACCA